GCCAGUUUAGAUGCAUACCAUCCUAAUCUUUUACUCAUUGAAUUUCAUCUUACAAUUCCAAUCAUUCCAAUUCAAAAAGAACUAAUGAAAACAGAAAGCAACAUGAAAAAUUUCAACUCUUAAUACAAUUAAACUGAUGAUGCUCAACAACAUCCAGGCGUAUUAUUCUGAAAAUUAUAACCUGGUCAAGUAAUGGUAGAAAAUACAAUGUUCAAAUUGAAAGAGCAUUAAG
rnacentral:misc_RNA from 1 species